rnacentral:rRNA from 1 species
AUUGAACGCUGGCGGCAUGCCUUACACAUGCAAGUCGAACGGCAGCACGGGAGCAAUCCUGGUGGCGAGUGGCGAACGGGUGAGUAAUAUAUCGGAACGUGCCCAGUCGUGGGGGAUAACGUAGCGAAAGUUACGCUAAUACCGCAUACGAUCUAAGGAUGAAAGCGGGGGGAUCGCAAGACCUCGCGCGAUUGGAGCGGCCGAUAUCAGAUUAGGUAGUUGGUGGGGUAAAGGCUCACCAAAGCCAACGAUCUGUAGCUGGUCUGAGAGGACGACCAGCCACACUGGAACUGAGACACGGUCCAGACUCCUACGGGAGGCAGCAGUGGGGAAUUUUGGACAAUGGGCGCAAGCCUGAUCCAGCAAAUGCCGCGUGCAGGAUGAAGGCCU